GAGUUUGAUUAUGGCUCAGAUUGAACGCUGGCGGCAGGCUUAACACAUGCAAGUCGAACGAUGAUUACUAGCUUGCUAGUAUGAUUAGUGGCGAACGGGUGAGUAAUGCUUAGGAAUCUGCCUAUUAGUGGGGGACAACAUUCCGAAAGGAAUGCUAAUACCGCAUACGUCCUACGGGAGAAAGCAGGGGAUCUUUUGACCUUGCGCUAAUAGAUGAGCCUAAGUCGGAUUAGCUAGUUGGUGGGGUAAAGGCCUACCAAGGCGACGAUCUGUAGCUGGUCUGAGAGGAUGAUCAGCCACACUGGGACUGAGACACGGCCCAGACUCCUACGGGAGGCAGCAGUGGGGAAUAUUGGACAAUGGGCGAAAGCCUGAUCCAGCCAUGCCGCGUGUGUGAAGAAGGCCUUUUGGUUGUAAAGCACUUUAAGUGGGGAGGAAAAGCUAAUAAUUAAU
rnacentral:rRNA from 1 species